CUGGUGACUGUUCUGUGGGCCCCUGAGAGAGUAAUGAAAGCCUAGGAAAUACAGGCCAACCCUAGGCCAUCCUGGCAAGAACAGGAAAGUUUGAAACCAUGGCUUCCCUCCCUGGCGUCAGGAGAGGCCACCAUUUUUAUUUCUGGAUCCAGUCCAUCCAUCCCCUUGAAGAGCUUCCUGCUGGCUGUGACAGCUAGAGAAGAGGAGCACUGAAAAGGAAAUCCUCAUCACUGUGGUCUGAAGGUGUAUUAACCCUCCAUCGCCGUGACAAAACUAUUCGAGAAGAGGAACAGAUUCUUUGGGAUCAUGGUUUCCUGAGGUUCAUUGUGUGACCACCUAUCCUGUGGGUCCCUGUGACCUCUUCUUCAACAGCAGCGGCCGGAAGAACAACAGCUGCUGUUCAUAAACAUUGCUUUACACCUCCUGUCAACCAUUGGAAUUUGUCGCUGCUUUGUUUUGAGGCUCAACUCCAAUUCUGUCCCCAUGUCAACAUGAAGGAUGCCCCGGAGCUGGAGAGAGGAAAGAAGGGAGCCCUUUCUGAGCAACUACCACAGCCUAGGCACUGUGCCAGACACUGGAAAGGGCAAGGUCAAAGAUGGAAGGAUCGUGCGGAGGUCUUGUUGUCGAUGUCACAGAAAAGAAAAUGAUCAUUCAGAAAGAACAAAGGGAGGAGGCAAAGGAGCCUGCAAAGGAGAUGCUGAUUGGCUGAAGGUUUAAGGAUGCUGCAAGUGUGGAAGCCAAAGAGGGAGAAGUGCCUGAGACCACCGCCCAGACAGGAGCCAUAGCUGACUGUGGAAGGGAGACUAGGAAUAGCCACAAGAAAGAAAUUUCCAUUCAGAAGGAAUGGAACGGGCAAAAGAAUUUGGGAAGAAGUUGAGUGGUUAAUCUACUCAGGUUUUACCUUCUGAUGUUGAUGUUUCUAAGAACUGAGAUUUCCUUGGCUGUUGAGGAAACCGCGACCCACCGAGGAGCUGGG
rnacentral:lncRNA from 1 species